UUGUGGAGGAGGACGCCGAAGGUGGGGCUAAUGACUGGGGUGAAGUCGUAACAAGGUAGCCGUACCGGAAGGUGCGGCUGGAUCACCUCCUAACAGGGAGACAACAAAAUGUUUAAUAUUAUUAUUUUGUCACCUUAGGUCGAUCGGUAUCUCACGUUCUUAAUUUAUUAAGAAUUUCAUUUCCUAAGUUUUUCUAGGUCACACCCAUUAUUUUUCCUGGGCCAUUAGCUCAGGUGGUUAGAGCGCACCCCUGAUAAGGGUGAGGUCCCUGGUUCAAGUCCAGGAUGGCCCAUAUCUCUAUGUCGGGGGUAUAGCUCAGUUGGUAGAGCGCCUGCUUUGCAAGCAGGAUGUCAGCGGUUCGAGUCCGCAUACCUCCACUGAUUACCACCUCUUCCAUAACCGGUAGAAGGGAAAAGUUUUGAGUUGUGAUUAUUAUUCUGAACGAAUCUAGCUUCCUAAUGAAAUCAUUAAGAUGCUGGACUCAUUGAAUUAAUUUCAUUGUUUUCAGAGAACCUUGACAACUGCAUAGAUUAUUUUUAAAGACAAUAAGCAUCUUUAAUGAUGCAGAUUUAUUAUUUAUGCGAAUGCAUUAAUAACAAUUCUAUUAAGCUGAUGCUUCAAUUUUGAAGUUAUUGGUCAAGCUACAA
rnacentral:misc_RNA from 1 species